rnacentral:lncRNA from 1 species
CUUGUUCAAUUCUAUUGCUGAGACUUUCCAGUGCAUUUUGCAUUUCUCUAAGUGUGUCCUUCAUUUCCAGAAUUUGUGAUUGUCUUUUGUUUAUGUUAUCUAUUUCACUGGAGAUUUUUCCAUUCAUAUCCUGUAUCAUUGUUUUUAUUUCUUUAAGCUGAACUUCGUAUUUCUCUGGUGCCUCCUUGAUUAGCUUAAUAAUCGACCUUCUGAAUUCUUCUCCUGGCAAUUCAGAGAUUUUAUCUUUGCUGGUGAGCUAGUAUAAUCUUUUGGGGGUAUUAAAUAAUCUUGUUUUGUCAUAUUACCAGAAUUGUUUUUCUGGUUCCUUCUUUUUUGGGUAGACUAUGUCAGAGGAAAGAUCUGGGACUCAAGGGCUGCUGUUCAGAUUCUUUUGUCCCACGAAGUGCUCCCUUGAUUUGGUGCUUUCCCCCUUCUUCUAGGGAUGGGGCAUCCUGAGAGCCAAACUGCCAUUAUUGUUAUUUCUGUUCUGGAUUUAGCCACUCAGCGGAGCUACUGGGCUCCAGGCCGGUACUGGGGAAUAUCUGCAAAGAGUCCUGUGAUGUUAUCCGUCUUCAGGUCUUUCAGCCAUGGAUACAAGCACCUGCUCUGGUGGAGGUAGCAGGGAACUGAAGUAGACUCUGUGAGGGGUCCGUGGUUGUAUUUUUAAGUGCACUGAUUUUGUGUUGGCUGGCCUCCAGCCAAAAGGUAGCACUUUCAAAAGUGCAUCAGCUGCAGUAGUAUAGGGAGGAUACAAGCUUGCCCAAGUAUCAGGUGGUGGGCAGGGCUAUAGAGCUCCCAAGAGAUUAUGUCCUUUGUCUCCAGCUACCAGGGUGGGUGGAGAAAGAUCAUCACGUUGAGGCGGGGUUAGGCUGUCUGAGUUCAGACUCUCCUUGGGUGGAGCUUGCUGCAGCUGCUGUGGGGGAUGGAGUUGUGGUUUCCCAGGCCAGUGGAGUUAUGGUCCCAGAGGGAUUAUGGCUGCCACUGCUGCAUCACACAGGUUGCCAGGAAAGUGGGGGAAACCCGGCAACCACAGGCCUCACCCGUCUCCCAUGCAGCCCAAAAGUCCAGUCUCACUCCCACCAUGUCCCCGCAAACAGCACUGAAUUUAUUUCCAGGCAACCAGUGAGCAAGGCUGAGAACUUGUCCCAGGUUACGAGACUCCCAGGUACAGUCAUGUGCCGCAUAAUGACAUUCAGUCAAUGACAGACUGCAUAUAUGAGGUGGUCCUGUAAGGUGAUAAUGGAGCUGAAAAAUUCCUACUACUGAACGACAUCAUAGCCAUUGUAACAUCAUAGCACAACCAAUCACCUUUUCUAUAUUUAGGAGCAAAGGCAAUACAAUGGAGAAGACAGUCUUUUAACAAAGGUGCUGGAAUAACUGGACAGCCAUGCACACACACAGAAAAGAAUCGAGACACAGACUUUACAUCUUCACAAAGGUACAACACUGAAGGCACCGCCCAUGAAAGAAACAACUGAUAGGCUGAACUCCAUUAAAAUUAAAAGCUUUUGCUCUGCAAAUACAAGAGAAUGAGAACACAAACCAUAAGGAGUUCAUAUGCUGGAAUGAUAGUGACACAGGAGUUUAACACUCCUACAGUAUCCAGAGCCUGGAUCCCUGAGUCAUCAGAUGGAGAAGAACUACUCAGGAGAGUCAUCCAACCUUCAUAGACAGUGGCAUGAGUGGGAAUUAAACAUUGAUUAUGUUAA